ACCCUCCCGCGAAAAAAAACUGUGCCAAAAAAAUCUGCCUCCCGAUCCCAUCUCGAUCUCCAAGCUCCAGUGCGCCGCCACCUCCUGCCGACCGCCGCCCUCCCCGGCACCGCACGCCGCCACGAAUGUCGCGGCCGUUGGCGGCUCCCCCCGCCCCUGCUACUCUUCUCCGCUCCCGCCGCCUAGCCCCGCUGCCUCGUCUCCACCGGCGGGAUUCGCCGCUACCGGCCACCACCGCUCACCCCAAGCCCUCACCGUGUCGCCGGCGCGGCUUCGGUGACUCCUCCCCUGCUCAUACCUCGCCCCCACACAUAGCUCAGCCCACUGGAUGGAGCUCCUCCGCCCGGUGGCCAUGACCAUGGGGUGCUCAAGCUCCUCCUCCGAUCUCUUCGCCGCCGCCCUCGCAGUCGCAUCAAUUUCCCUGGAUCCCUAUGCUUCCUCCCUUCGCCGCUGCCGAUCUCGUCGCUACGUCAACGGCAAACAUUUGACGCCGCCGAAGCGGAUCGCUUUGCAAACGCCGAGGUCAUCUUAUAGGCCGGAAAUGCCGAGGACACCGUUGCCGCCAUCGCCACCAUCGCGGAAACCCAGGGCAGGGCGGGCAGCGAGGAGCGGCGCAAGGAGGCCGUGCCCUGCCCUCCUCUGUGUGCUGGUGGUGGCGAUGCAACGCGUCAUCGACCGUGAGAUUGGCAAGCCCGAGUACCGUGCGCCUGCAUCGACACGGCCGCCGACGGCGACUGCGGGAGGACCAAGUGCGGCGUCCAGUACUCUACGGAGGAUUAGGUCGCCACCUGCCCCAUCUUCAUCCCGCCGUGGUGGCCAGACGUGCUUCAGCUGCCCCCGCCUGAGUUGAGGGCCGUCAGGCCGCCUCCCAGCCAUUCGACACUUUGCCUGACUCGACUUGCCGGGACACUUUGUCUUGCCCUGCUGCUUUAGUCGUCACUGGAGGACGCUCGCUCACCCAUGGUAGAUCAGCUAGCUAUAGGAGAUGACAUCUUUCUACUUUUCUUAUUCUUCCUGAACACGCAUAUGAAUGUUUUUGCAUUGAGACGGCAGGUCUUUCGGAUCAAGUGUUCCCUGCUCUGGCUUCGCCUUUUAAUCUGACUGAAUAUCUCCUUACGCUCUCCAAGAUUGUUCCUGCUAUGGAGUUUUUUUAUUGGAUCUAUUUAUCUCAGGGCUUUGACGCCCCGGCUUCGUUUAGACAAUUUUUAGAGCCAGCAUUUACUCAAGGGAAUACUCUGUAUAUUGUUCAAUCUCAGUGUAGGUCCCAUUUUUCGGAAACAGUUUCAUUCAAUGCCGGGUCGAAACCCCUUAAACUCAGUAAGUAGGUUUCUUCCUUUGUUGAAAUCUCAUUUCAUUGACGAUAUAUUGCGCUGCGUGUUGGUUAAGAUGAAGCAAGGAGAAAAUCAUUGACGAUGUAUUGCCCUGCAUGUUUCAGUCAGUUUGUUGGACAACUAUACACAUAUUUGUUUCUCAAGCCCACUGAUUUCAGCCUCUCCGUCUUCUUCAAGCCCGGUGACUAAUUAAUUGGUUUAUCGAACAUACUAUCUGAGAAACAAAUUACUAUUGUAUAUGUAGUGCUACCUUAAUUAAAUCCUGGCAACUAAGCUCAUGUUGUGCUUAAGAUUAAAUUGGAUAUAUUGGAAAUGCAGGUGAGAAGUUCAGGGAUAUUUUGGGAGUGCCUAUUAUGUGGCUCCGGAGGUCCUGAAGCAGAGAUAUGGAGUCGAUGAUGUCAUAUGGAGUGCUGGAGUUAUACUCUACAUUCUGCUCUCUGGCGUUCCUCGUUUCUGGGCAGCAGGGCAUGUGCGUUUUGUGGCUGGUUAUGUCGAUCAAUUUUGGGGCUAGGUUAUGUCGAUCAGUUUUGUGGCUAGGUAGGUCUCGGCCUCCCUCCUUUCGUCCAAGGCUAGGAGUUCCUCUCCCUAAUCCGGCCUGAUCUGGCGGAGAGAGUGCUAGUCCUUGCCACUUUGAUGGUCGUUGUGGCCAGAUCCGGCCGGGGGAGCCGCCGUAGAGCCUACACGUCGGUGGUGCAGCAGCAUCCCGACUGAAGAUGGGUGCCCGAGAUCGUCCCGCUUCCCCACACUUGAUCCUUCUCGGUUGCUGAUGGUGGUGUGAUGUGACAUAGGACGGGAGGAGGCUCCACGGCCGCGGCGGGCUAGCUCUCAGACGGGCAGCAGUGGCACGCCGUCCUCGUGCUCGCCAAAGCCAAGGGCUGUGGCUGGGAGAAAUGUUUAGGAGAUGGGAAAGAAAGGAAGGAACUGGGUCAACAAGGCGUUCACCACAAGCCACAAGGUGAAGCCCACAAAUUAAGUCUCAGUUUCAUCGCAUCAACCGUGAGGGGUAGUAUGCAAGGAUCAACCAAUGUGGAUAACAAAAUCUGGGUGCGAGCUUCCGGGAAAUCUAAUUGGGUCUAUGCAAACAAGCAGAUGUGGAAGAUAAUCCCUGUACAUUGUUCAGGUCGAUUUGGCAAAUCUUUGACAGUAGCUGUGGGUCUUAUACUGAUGGCAAUCAAUGUGUCUUUUCCGACAAACCAAGGGUCGAUUCCAACAUAUGUUUUGUCCAUCUUUGAAGCCCAUUGGCUACUCAUUGAUCUGCUUCACUACUCCACAAGUUUCUCACUAGGUUCUCUCGAGCGAUGGGUAUACUGGAUGUUCAAGGACACAGAAGGCUUCAUGAACCACGCUCUUGCUGAACUUUUUUUUUGCAUCAUAACAGUGAUUCCCAUGAUCUUUCUAUGUGCCUUAUUGAUGGACGGUGUUGGGGCGUUCAGGGCAGAAUGACCUGAGCGGUAGAUCGUACGGUGAACAGCGUCGACGGCAGCGCUAGAGUGCGGCGAGGCUGGUUGAGGUAUUCUCUAUGCUUCUUUUAAUGGACACAUGUAAUUUUAUUUGAGAUCUUAUCAUGGUUGCUGCUAAUUAAUAAUCUUAGCGAUGUAAUGUAAUUCGCAUAAUAUGAUAUAAUCAUUUAGGAGUAGACUUUGCUGGACUAUUGUAAGUCGUCAGAAACACUAUGUUCUAUCCAAAAGGUCAUCCACAACAUCUGUGCAUUGCGUAGAGCUGCUUACUACAAUUUUCUAGAAUGCACUUCUUGAAUUAUUCUGGAAGAUGAUAGUAUUUCACCUCAGUACCUUGCUGCUCACUCCAGCGUGAAGACGUGUUCGCUAAAUGGUGAGAUAUGCAUUGUGAAAGGGUAAGGCAAUGCAUCACGUUGAUCUUUGCUUGAACUUGUGGGCCUUCAAUAGCGUUUUAGUUCAUAUAAAAGAAAAUCCUGUAUAUUCUUAAACAUAAAGAGAUUAUUAUGGUUCAGAUUAUCAAGGAUAUCAGUAAUUCUAUAUGCGCUAAAUAGGACUCCCAUUUUAAAGAAAAAUAAGACUCUUUUUAUAAACACGGUUUGACCAUGGUGCUAAUAUAUGUUUUUUUGGGAGGUGUUAUUUAGAUACAUUAAAACUGCGCAUCUUUCCCGCCCUCUCAGUCUAUUAGCGUUCGGGGCCAUUGGAUCUUCAGAUUUAAGCAUUUUCUGCCGUUCGAUUGCUCUUAAUCACUUGUCCACCCGCUCCAUUCGCUGCGAACGAGCAAUUUCCGCGCUGGGCCGCUGCUCCGGUGGCAUUUUUGAGCACCUGUGGUAAACUUGGGCCUACUGGGCUUCUAUCACCCUCCCCGUGAAGCCAGAAAAAGGCCUAUAGGUGUCCCCUCUGGCUCGUGCAAAAAGAAUCACCCCUCAAAAAGAAACUUCUGACUUGGAAGGGAGACAAGGGACCCACGCUCACCCAGGCCUACGCUCGGCGAGAAAAAAAUUCAACCAGGCGUACGUUCUCGCUCGCCAGCGCGCCUCUGUAGCUGAUGCGGCAGGGAGAUGUGAACGGGUGCUGCGGCUGUUAAGUUACGCGUCGGGCGAUUCAAGCAAUCCGCUAGCAUUGAAGCAGGCAGUAAAGCGUCAGUUCCUGGAUGUCAGUAAUGGCAGCUGAGGUGGCCCCUUCACGGCGACUAAUGGAGGUACGUUACUCUUUGCUCCCUACACCUUCAUCCAUGCCUCAAGCUCUACCCGUUCCCCUUCUUAUCCCGGCAGGUUGCGAGGCUUCAUGAUCUAUACGUACAUGCAAAACUAGGUGCGGAGCAGCCGCUGCCACUAUCUCCACCUCCACCAUACCUCCUCCAUCCACCUUCCAUCUUGCCACUCCGCCGUCCGCGCCACACGAAUGAUAGCAGUGGCGGCGAUGAGCUCGAGGUUCCUGUCUGCCCUCCGUCCACACCCUCACAAGAACGCAGACCGGGGGCAACACACAGAUAUUUUCUCUGCGCGCGGUGCCAUGGCUGCACUCUCCGUUCAAGCGUCGUGGCCUUUCCCUCGGGAGUGCCACCACAAGGAACAUGCAGUGUUGUUGCUGCCAUCGCUUGGAUUGAUCUGUUGUAUCAGGUAUCUAAUUCCACUACAUGUUCAGGUGCAAGCUGGCACUCCUUCUCCCCUAAUUCUUCAUGUUUUUUUUUUGAUUUAAUACACGUUGAUCUGGUGUAUAAGGCGAAACAAGCUAUCCUCAUUUCCGUGUAAAAAUGUUGAGUGUAAAUUUACAUGAUCGGAUGGUGCAGCUAUAGAGGAUAAUGUACCUGACAAUAUUAUGUUCUUCCAGUGAUAUGUGCGUCUGUGGUACAGUCCUAUAGAUGAACUAUGCCGCCUUUUCUUCUAAAGAAAGUGGUCACGGGCAACAAAGCUUGGAGAUGGAAAAAUGGGACGUUCAGGACAAUUCUGUUAAUAACAAUUAAUCAGUGAGAAUUCAUCCACAAGUCAGAGGACGAGUUAUGCCCAGUCUAUAAGUAGCUGCUGUAUCAAUCUGAUGUUCUUAACUGCGAUCAAGGUAGGCUCUAAUUUAAAAUAAAGUUAUUUUCAAUUUUCAUAUAUCUUAUUUCUGUUUAUUCAAAAACAGUUAUCUAGGUUUUGUGAAACUGUAUUGUGUUUCUUCUUUGCCUUCAAAGUAUUGGGUGUUUAGUUUGUGGAGGUCUUCACUCUAGAAGAAUAUCUGCUGCAGAAUAAGAAUCAAGGAACUCACUUUGACAACAGUCAAUUCAGUCCUGCAGGAUCUACUUUUAUGAGGGUUUUUUUCUUGAAGCUCACAGGGAUGUUACAGUACAGUUUUCUAGCCUAACAAAUUACUGUGCAUCAAGAUUAUGCACAACUAUAAUUUUGAAAUUCUUAGUUUUUUACUCUGUAAAUUGACUUGGUACGGUUGUCCCGAGUUACUAUCUAUAUGGUUUUGGAUGAUAUUAUUUUUUGCUUAUUGUCUACUCGUUCAUUUCUUAUGGUGCCUUAUUUUCCUUGAAGUAAUCACCAAUAGGCUUUUUUUUUUUGCGGGUACAUCUUGGUUCCUUGUCAUUUAUCUUAACUUUGAUUGAACUGGAAAUGCUUGGAUGUGGACAAGGUUUUAACUAGCUGAAAACAGUUAGCAUAUGCUCCACGAACAAGAUCAUUCUUGCGGUUGUUCCUCAAUAGUAGCCAACACCAACUAAUUACGAGCUUACAUGCUUAUGCACGGCUUAUUAUCUUGGUUACCUAGGCUCAGUAUGUUGUACGUUAUGCUAGAGUUGUUGAUGUCUGGCUUAUGAACUAGAAGUUGUAUGACUCAUUUCACCAAGUCUGCACAUAUUGCUAUCCGUUUAUAUGGCAUGUCAUACUAGGGUAUCACAACUUAAUUUUGAUAUGCAAAGAACCAAAAAUUGAUGCAUGAUAUGUUAGAUAUCCUCAAUAAAUAGGGUAUUACUACUUCACCAAUACUAAUGUUGUUCUUCCAGUUUGAUGGAUUACUUAGUAUGGCCCAGCACUGCAAUAUAUUUCCAUUAUUUGUACCAUAUAAAUUUUAAAAUAUAUCUUGUAGCACUUUAUUUAUGUAAAAUUCUACAAUUCCAUAGUAACAAUUGCCGGGCGCGGCAACGCGCGCCAUUAAAGAUCUAGUAUAUGUUUAGAUUCAUGCACUAUGUGUAUCACGCCUCUCUUCCUUUUCUAAAAUAUUGGCAGAGGUUCUAUCUCAUACACUAAAUCUUUUAUCGAGCCUAUCAUGGCUGCACCUCAAGGUUUGAUAACUAAUGUCGAUUCAGAAGGUGGAUUUGGCUCAUUGAAGAUACAGAUAAGCAAUUUCUGAGCUCAUAGGUUCCAAGCUUUUCAGUUUUAUGCAAAAUUAUGGAGCAGAAAAACAAGCUGGAAGCUUACUCGAGGAUGCAGGCCAGCGGCAACCCCAGAGCCGAAGGCGACAAGGUUGCGCCAGAUAUCAAAGAGAGGUAGCGCUCUCGGGCCUGCUAGGAGCUCCGGGCUUGGUGGGUGUGGACCAUGACAUUACCGAGGAGUAUUCUUUAUUGGUAAGUAGUAAUAUUUUUGUAAUAAUUUUAUGAUAUCUAAUUAGUAUGUAUUCAAAUUUCAGAGAUCAGGUCGCAUAAACCUAUGGUUUUAUAUCAGUCAGAAGAAUUUUUCUUAGGGAAAUGAAUCAGAAUUUUCUUUCUUUCUUUUGACACCUCAAUUCCAGGAGUUUACCUCAUAAAUUGUAGUGAAACAUACUAGGGGUUGUAGAGUUUUGUGCAAGCUUUUGUGAUGUUGCUUAAUGGCCCAUUUAGAUCUCAGAGCGCCCCCAUGGAUAUAUAGAAUCCCUAGAUAUAUUUGUUGCUUUCUUCUUAUGGACAUGCGACACAAAAUAGGGGUGUAAAACUGAUCCUUCAUUUCCUAAAUUAUUGCAUAUUUGCCAUGUAGUUGUUAUACACUUGCACACAGCAGGACAUGUGUUGGAUGAUUCAUUUUUUUUUCAAAAGGAGAUCUUUUAAGCUGUUGUGUUCUUUCAAACUGUGGAUAACAUUUUGAUCUAAGUGAUCUGGUUCUUUCAAUUGGUGCAUAGCAUGUUCGUUUGAAGUUCAAGCUAGCAGAGUACGAAGCUAUGAGGUAUUUCAAAUUCUCACUAAAAUAUCAUGGUUAGUCAUUCCAAUUUUAGGAUGUCAAAGCGUGAUGCUCUGUUGCUUUUACUAAUAUAAUUCAUAUAUAAUUAUUUUCUGUAAUGUGCAAAACAUUUUUCAGGACUAUCUUGUAUUGUUUGCUUACCAUUUUUGUGACAACAGAUUUCAGCACCACUUGUAAUAAUUUUUUAGGUGAUUUUGUGGACAAUUACACGCCCAUAUUUUUUGAAUUAAUGACACGAGUGAGUUGAUACAUUUGGUAUCUGAUCUGGUUCUUUUGGGUAUAAGUCUUGCUCUGAAUAGUAAAUAGAUUGCACAGCAAAUUGGCUACUCUUGUUCUGGGAUACACAAUGCAAUUUACUGAUGUUGUUCAAAUUCAAAAAAUAAUUGAUCAACGCCCAGUAGGGUCGCAUAUAAUAAAGUAUAUAUGAAAGUAUCUUAUGGUUACUCUUGUUUGUAUCAUUUCUCUCUAUGUAUACAUCACCGAGUUAAAUUGCAACUGAAAUGAAUUUCAAUUAUUUUCCAAUUGUUGCAGGCUAUCUUUUUUACACAUACAAAAUUUAUAUGCAUUAUAUUUGUAGGCUCAGUCAGAAAUCCAAUUGUUGCAGGCUAUCUUUUUUAUACAUACAUAAUUUAUAUAUGCAUUAUAUUUGUAGGCGCAAUCAGAAAAAGUACAUAACUUGUGAAAUUCACAACUUGUGAAAUUCGAUAUGAAUUGUAUUAAUAGGUGCUGUUCAGAAAAUAAUUAGAAGUUGGAUCUCUCCUUUUGUGCUAUUAUUGCUGAAAUCAAGAGGCUCAUUACAAGGAAUUGUCAUGUUUUGUGUACCUUGUAAUAGUGACACGCAAUGGCCGAUGUUGAGUGAUAUUGAUCCUGUGUGAUGUUGAGUGAUAUUGAUCCUAUUUAAUAAUGGCUGGUAUAUGUUCUUUGGUGACAGACGAUUUUCUGGUUUAGGAGAGACCAAGACUGUCGAGAACGAAAGAAGCCGAUCUGGCCCCCUGGGACCUGCGGGCGUUGCGGGUGGCGGCGGCCACAGCUUGAGAGGGCGUCUCCCCCUUGUCGACGGGGUUUGGUGCCGGUGCUCGGUGCGCCAUCUUGGCCAUGCUGGGCGGCGAGUCAGCGGCGGGCUUCAAUCCGAUCUGAAGUUGGCGGCUUCACUAUGCUUGUCCUCCUCUGCUAGCUGGUCUGCGGGCUUCCUCCGGACGUCGUGCUCGGCUGGUUGGCGGAGCAAUGGGGAUGAGAGCUCUGGGUCGGGGGAAACCCUUGAUCGGCGGUGCCGGUCACGAUGUUGGCGACGCUCGCGGCGCCGUUCUCCCUCCGGUUGGCGACAUUGAGACCCUCUCCUCGCCUUCCACCCCAUGGUCCCGGGCGAAAGCCUAAAAUCUUUUGAUUGGGCGACGACAGCGCGUCAGCGUUGUUUUAUUCUUGAAGACGCUGCCUUGGGAGUCCAGGAUGGCCGGGGGCUCUGUCACAUCCCUAGCUUCUGGUGCUGCCUAGUGUUUGCAUCAUGUUUAAAUUUCUGAAACUUGAACUGAGGAAAUUUGGAAGCCUCAAAAACUUAAAUAAAAGAAGGGCAAAAACCCUAAAAUCUCAUUCA